UACUGCACAAUGGGGGAAACCCUGAUGCAGCGACGCCGCGUGAAGGAAGAAGUAUCUCGGUAUGUAAAGCUCUAUCAGCAGGGAAGAAAAUGACGGUACCUGAAUAAGAAGCCACGGCUAACUACGUGCCAGCAGCCGCGGUAAUACGUGGGGGGCAAGCGUUAUCCGGAUUUACUGGGUGUAAAGGGAUCGUAGACGGUUAUGCAAGUCUGGAGUGAAAGCCCGGGGCUCAACCCCGGGACUGCUUUGGAAACUGUAAAACUGGAGUGCAGGAGAGGCAGGCGGAAUUCCUAGUGUAGCGGUGAAAUGCGUAGAUAUUAGGAGGAACACCAGUGGCGAAGGCGGCCUGCUGGACUGUAACUGACGUUGAGGCUCGAAGGCGUGGGGAGCAAA
rnacentral:rRNA from 1 species